UGGAAGCUGUCUCAGUAUUACCUCAAUCUCAUUUAUUUUCAGUUUCGGGUGUUGAUCUUGGUUGAUCCCCCAAAACAAUCCUGAAGGACAAGUCACAUGCUCCCCUUUCAGAGACGGGAAGCUGAGCCUCAGAGAAGUUCAAUGCUUUGAUGGGGAUUUGCACGAAGUACCUUGUGGAGACGGGGAUGGAACUCAAGUCUUUCUCACUCCGGAACCAGGACAGACAUCCUCUGCCCCCUCCAUCCCUUCCUUGCUUCUUCUUUGCUUCUGUCCCUCUUGUCACCAUCAGAUUGAUGCUAGGCUCUGAAGAUAGGGCAUUCGUAGGGCACGGGGCCUGGGCGCAAGGAAAUCAGGGUCUGAUGGAAGAGAAACAGCCGAAUAGGCUGUCGUGGACGGCAGCUGCGGCAGGGGUGUGUUCUCAUGUCAGUCCUCAGAGGAAGGAACACCUACCUGUCUGGGGAUUCAGAUGUACUUCCUUCUGACCACUCAUUUUGCCCGAAAAGCCCACGUGGAGCCCACGCAGGUCCCUGCGACAAGGUCCCUGGGAGAAAGUGGGUGUGCCUAGUGGUGUGACCUGGAAUCCGGGAGCUUUUCUGCACUCGCCCUUGGAGGGCUGGAGGUAACGCCCUUUAAAAAGGGCGAUCAGGCCAGUUCUUACCAGUCCCUCUUCUGAGCGGGAGCAAGAGGGACGACUCUGUUUGUGGGGGAGCAACUCAGCAUUGUGAAAGGAUGCAGAUGUAUAAUUAAGCCACUGUUUACAAGAAAUCCUAAUCUUAGGGCAAUUCAAGGUAAAGACAGCCACCAGCCAGGGACAGCCAAGAACAACACUGCCAGAAACACGGAGACAGAAGCCUCCAGCCAGACACUGUUUAUUCUCUAAAUAUUGUCACCAAAAGAACUCGCUGAGAAAACCUCUCUGUUCCCUGGGCAUCCCUUGCAUAUCAGUCUCAAUAACAGUAAAAAUAAUUAAGUGUGAUAUUGGAUUGCCUACUAUAUGCUAGACAUUUGUUUAUAUUAUUUUAUUUUAGACCUCAACCUCCUCCGUUACACCUUCUCCCCCCACCAAAAUCUGAGUAGGUGUAAUUACAGAGAAGGAAACAGAGAGGUUGAGUAAUUGGCUGAAGUCACACAGUUAAUAAGUAACAGAGUUAACUUCAGUCUAGGAUAUGAACUUAAGUUUAUGUGCUUUUCACAUUUUGACUUUGUUUUGUCAAGUGGUGAAACUGGUUCUACAGACUAAGGUUUAUUUAUUUCUGAAUCUCCUACAUCUAGCUCAAAGCAGCUCAAGUACCUGGGGGUAAGGGGUAUCUUUUUAAAUAUGUGAAAAAUAAAGCCUGACUUUGCCCCCAACCUGCCCCCGUGCAUGUGGAAAACUCUGCAUAAAAUUAAAGCGUCUUCACAGACGUUUUCUGAAAGCUAUCCGUGGACUUCAGGUUAAGACACUCUGAUGAAAAUCUUUUCUGUGAAUUGAUUUAAGAUUAGAGUUUCAAACGUUAGAUGGUCAAUCACGACAGGGCUCCGUGAUCUGCGUUUGCCCCACCCUCACAAUUCUUCCUGUGACAAAGGAUUCACAAUUUGGCUCCGUGUGCAGAAGGAGCACCUCCGAGGUGAGCCCCUGCUCUGCACAGGGCAGGAGAGAUUCAGGGAAGGGACAUAACCAGUCGUCCUUGGGAGUUCUUUGAGGUCACUGGAGCUUCACGUCUCAUUCACAGCUGGGACAGAUUACCUCUGACAUCACCUGUGGCUUGUCCAACUGUCCAGAGGUCAGGGGAAACUCUGUAACACACACAGCCUCUUUUAACCUUACUGAUGGCAGAGGCAAAAUGACAAUGACCUUGUGACUCUCACUGCUUCCCAAACACACCUUCAUGGGCAUAGCUCCAGGCCCCUGUGUUUGUCUUUCCUUCUGCCUGGAGCAUCGGUUCCUAUCCAAGCAGAGACCCAAGCAUUCAAGAUGUGCUCAGCAUCACUUCCUUUGGGACACCCUCCCUGGCCACUCUGCACCCCUCCUGCACAGGAUCAGUCAUUGCCUCUCCUCACCUUCAUGACCCUGCACUGCCCCGGCCCCAGCCCUGGGCACACUGCACUGCCCCCUACUCAUGAGCGAUGUCUGAGUCCCAAGCAUGUCCCGUAGUAAGUGCUGAGUAGACAAUGGUUAUUAGACAAUGAAAUGAAUGGAUGGAGGCAGCUGGGGGGCAUUCCUUUGAGACAAGGCACAGACACAUCUAGAAACUCUCUUAAAAUUUUAUUUCCUUAAAGAAUGUUGAUGGAUAUUAGGCCAUUGCCAUUUUAGCCUCAAUUAAUGGUAUUUUAAUGAGAGUUUUUAAUGUAUUUAUUUUUGGGGGGGGCAGUGUAGGACUUUUUGACCCAGAGUCCUGAGAAAAAUUUUGUUACUUUCUUCUUAGAUUCCCUGGAGUUUACCACCCAGAGGGUCACCCAGGAAAGGCUGCUUUUGAAUCAAGCAUGCCCUUUGAGAUAUUCCCAAAUUGGAAAGUCUAUCUAAAACGGGAAAUUUGUCUUACAUUGGAGAUAUGUAUGUGUGUGUCUGCAUUCAAAUAAGAAUUUGGGGUCAUCUAUCUUUGAUAUUUAAAAGUAUCUUUCAAACACUUUCCCAGGCCUUUCCCACUACCAUUUAUUAGCGGUCACUCCUGUCCUUUGUUGUGUGAUGCACAGAAUAGAGCACAAUAUAAAUCAGAAGAUGCAUUUCCUGCUGUUUUAAAUUUUGAAUAAUAUCAUGGGAAAAGGCUUCAAGUCUAUUGUUUUACUCGGCUUUGUUUUGUUUUUCUUCUUUCACAAGCAACCUUUCUCACUCUUUCUUUUUCUCCCUCUCUCUCUCUCAAAUUAAUUAAAGACUCUGGGCUGGACAAGAUUAUAGGAGAAGUAAUCAGAACAACCUGUCAGUGACGUGUUGCUGUCUGCCAGUCGCCAAAGCUAUCUCUGAACCACCAGUUCUUAAAGUGGGGGCUUUAUACUCCUGGCCAUCCCUGAGUUCUUUCCAGGGGAUCAACAAGGCGAGAAAACUACAAGUCAACAGGGAUUUCAUCUAGAAUGCAUUUGGUUGGAAAUAACAGAAACCCCCUCUCCAGCUGUUAUAAACAACAGCGGGACCUGGAAAGGCGGAGGAAGGCCGGUGGCAGUGGCCCAAGCACAUCUGCAAAGGUGGAGAGCCUACCUCCCAGUGUCCCCACAGGGGUCAAAGAGUCACUCUGAUGGACACCUUGGGUCAACACCUGUCUGUGGACUAAUCACUGCUUCAUUCCCAAUUCUCCACUGCGUUUUUCACUAUCACUCAUUCAUUCAACAAGUAUUUACUGACAGCCUUCUCUGUGGGGCACUUCUCUAUGUGGUGGGAAUACAGUGUUGAACGAAGCCAACACAAUCACUGCCCACGCUGAAUUCACAUACUCUAUGUUGUAUGUCGUACUCAAACUAAUAGACUAAGUAGACAGGAAGAUACAUAAUCGCAUAUAUACAGAAACAUAGCGAUGGCUAUCAUUCGCGGAAACUAACAGCAGGCGUUACUCCAGACGUUUUUAUCUUGUAUUUUAGUUCAACCCUCAAAAUAUUCUUAUAAGUAUUAUUAUCCAAGUAUUUUAGCAUUAAGGAAAAAGAGACACAGAAAGGGAGAAGAACUUACUAAGCUCACAUAGCAAGCAAGUGUGGAGGAUAAAUUUGUAAUUUCUUUUUUUUUUUUGCUGCAUGCACGGCCUUCCAUACAAGGAAAUGGCCUGCUUCUCUUCGCAUGGACUAGGCUUCACAUGCCAAAUGGUGUGCCAACAUAGAAUAAACCGACCUUUUAUUAAUUUCAUUACAGGGAUUUAGUCAAAGCCUGUAGUACUCUCUGGCUAAAUACAGAGCGCUUAGAACCCGUACAUUAAUCAAUUUUCCAGGAGUAAACAGUUGUCUGUGUCCAUAGAUACUACCCGUGUAUUCUUGCCGUGACUAUCACACAGACGAUUUUACACUCUUCCCACACAGAGUUGUAGAUAUCCUCACUGCUUUUUGCCUUACUAGAAAAUUAAUGUAUUUUUAUUAUAGAAAACUUGCAAAGGACCAAAAAUUAUGAAAGUGUAGGAAAAACAUCAUCCAUUGUCCAACAACCCAUAAGCAACAGCUGUGGGCUUAGUUAUUCCCAGGUUGUUUCCGCCAUAUUAUAUUUUCACAAAAAUAAAGUUAUGUUCUAUAUGCCACCUCUUACUGUGCUCUUUCGACUUGUUAUUAUACCUCACAAUUUUACAUGUUAUUACAAUACCUUUAUUAACCUUUUUUCUGUCAUAAUUCUAAUG